AAUGGACUGAAUAUCAUAGUCUAGAGGAAAACAGGACAAUGGUAAUACGUUCUAGAGAAAAAGCAGUUUGAAGAAAGAAAUCAGAACAAAAGUAAGUUCAACAGA